GACGAACGCUGGCGGCGUGCUUAACACAUGCAAGUCGAGCGGUAAGGCCCUUUCGGGGGUACACGAGCGGCGAACGGGUGAGUAACACGUGGGUGACCUGCCCUCAGCUCUGGGAUAAGCCUGGGAAACCGGGUCUAAUACUGGAUAUGACUCCAUGACGCAUGUUGUGGGGGUGGAAAGCCUUGUGCGGCUGAGGAUGGGCCCGCGGCCUAUCAGCUUGUUGGUGGGGUGANGGCCUACCAAGGCGACGACGGGUAGCCGGCCUGAGAGGGCGACCGGCCACACUGGGACUGAGACACGGCCCAGACUCCUACGGGAGGCAG
rnacentral:rRNA from 1 species